UUGAACGCUGGCGGGAUGCCUUACACAUGCAAGUCGAACGGCAGCGCGGACUUCGGUCUGGCGGCGAGUGGCGAACGGGUGAGUAAUGUAUCGGAACGUGCCCAGUAGCGGGGGAUAACUACGCGAAAGCGUAGCUAAUACCGCAUACGCCCUGAGGGGGAAAGCGGGGGAUCUUCGGACCUCGCACUAUUGGAGCGGCCGAUAUCGGAUUAGCUAGUUGGUGGGGUAACGGCUCACCAAGGCGACGAUCCGUAGCUGGUUUGAGAGGACGACCAGCCACACUGGGACUGAGACGCGGCCCAGACUCCUACGGGAGGCAGCAGUGGGGAAUUUUGGACAAUGGGGGCAACCAUGAUCCAGCCAUCCCGCGUGUGCGAUGAAGGCCUUCGGGUUGUAAAGCACUUUUGGCAGGAAAGAAACGGCGCCGGCUAAUACCUGGCGCACCUGACGGUACCUGCAGAAUAAGCACCGGCUAACUACGUGCCAGCAGCCGCGGUAAUACGUAGGGUGCAAGCGUUAAUCGGAAUUACUGGGCGUAAAGCGUGCGCAGGCGGUUCGGAAAGAAAGAUGUGAAAUCCCAGGGCUUAACCUUGGAACUGCAUUUUUAACUACCGGGCUAGAGUGUGUCAGAGGGGGGGUGGAAUUCCACGUGUAGCAGUGAAAUGCGUAGAUAUGUGGAGGAACACCGAUGGCGAAGGCAGCCCCCUGGGAUAACACUGACGCUCAUGCACGAAAGCGUGGGGAGCAAACAGGAUUAGAUACCCUGGUAGUCCACGCCCUAAACGAUGUCAACUAGCUGUUGGGCCCUUCGGGGCUUGGUAGCGCAGCUAACGCGUGAAGUUGACCGCCUGGGGAGUACGGUCGCAAGAUUAAAACUCAAAGGAAUUGACGGGGACCCGCACAAGCGGUGGAUGAUGUGGAUUAAUUCGAUGCAACGCGAAAAACCUUACCUACCCUUGACAUGUCUGGAAUCCCGAAGAGAUUUGGGAGUGCUCGCAAGAGAACCGGAACACAGGUGCUGCAUGGCUGUCGUCAGCUCGUGUCGUGAGAUGUUGGGUUAAGUCCCGCAACGAGCGCAACCCUUGUCAUUAGUUGCUACGAAAGGGCACUCUAAUGAGACUGCCGGUGACAAACCGGAGGAAGGUGGGGAUGACGUCAAGUCCUCAUGGCCCUUAUGGGUAGGGCUUCACACGUCAUACAAUGGUCGGGACAGAGGGUCGCCAACCCGCGAGGGGGAGCCAAUCCCAGAAACCCGAUCGUAGUCCGGAUCGCAGUCUGCAACUCGACUGCGUGAAGUCGGAAUCGCUAGUAAUCGCGGAUCAGCAUGUCGCGGUGAAUACGUUCCCGGGUCUUGUACACACCGCC
rnacentral:rRNA from 1 species